UCUAAGUUUGAUGGCGACCGGCGCACGGGUGAGUAACACGUAUCCAACCUGCCGAUGACUCGGGGAUAGCCUUUCGAAAGAAAGAUUAAUACCCGAUGGCAUAGUUCUUCCGCGUGGUAGAACUAUUAAAGAAUUUCGGUCAUCGAUGGGGAUGCGUUCCAUUAGGUUGUUGGCGGGGUAACGGCCCACCAAGCCUUCGAUGGAUAGGGGUUCUGAGAGGAAGGUCCCCCACAUUGGAACUGAGACACGGUCCAAACUCCUACGGGAGGCAGCAUG
rnacentral:rRNA from 1 species